GUGGGGAAUCUUGCGCAAUGGGCGCAAGCCUGAUCCAGCCAUGCCGCGUGAGUGAUGAAGGCCUUCGGGUUGUAAAGCUCUUUAGUCCACGAAUAUAAUGACUGUAGUGGAAGAAUAAGCCCCGGCUAACUUCGUGCCAGCAGCCGCGGUAAUACGAAGGGGGCGAGCGUUAUUCGGAAUCACUGGGCGUAAAGCGUGCGUAGGCUGUUUUGUAAGUCAGAAGUGAAAGCCCAGGGCUUAACCCUGGAAUUGCUUUUGAAACUACAAGACUCGAAUUCGGGAGAGGAUAGCGGAAUUGUCAGUGUAGCAGUGAAAUGCGUAGAUAUUGACAGGAACACCAGUGGCGCAAGCGGCUAUCUGGACCGAUAUUGACGCUGAGGCACGAAAGCGUGGGGAGCAAACAGGAUUAGAAACCCCUGUAGUCC
rnacentral:rRNA from 1 species